UACCAGCACCCCGAGUGGUCGGGACGAUUAUUGGGCCUAAAGCAUCCGUAGCCGGUUCUACAAGUCUUCCGUUAAAUCCACCUGCUCAACAGAUGGGCUGCGGAAGAUACUAUAGGGCUAGGAGGCGGGAGAGGCAAGCGGUACUCAGUGGGUAAGGGUAAAAUCCUCUGAUCCAUUGAAGACCACCAGUGGCGAAGGCGGCUUGCCAGAACGCGCUCGACGGUGAGGGAUGAAAGCUGGGGGAGCAAACCGG
rnacentral:rRNA from 1 species